rnacentral:rRNA from 1 species
GUAUAAGAGACAGCAGCAGCCGCGGUAAUACGAAGGGUGCAAGCGUUAAUCGGAAUUACUGGGCGUAAAGCGUGCGUAGGCGGUGAGUUAAGUCUGCUGUGAAAUCCCCGGGCUCAACCUGGGAAUGGCAGUGGAUACUGGCUCGCUAGAGUGUGUCAGAGGAUGGUGGAAUUCCCGGUGUAGCGGUGAAAUGCGUAGAGAUCGGGAGGAACAUCAGUGGCGAAGGCGGCCAUCUGGGACAACACUGACGCUGAGGCACGAAAGCGUGGGGAGCAAACAGGAUUAGAUACCCCGGUAGUCCCUGUCUCUUAUAC